ensembl:snRNA U6 U6 spliceosomal RNA
GUGCUUACUUCAGCAGCACAUAUACUAAAAUUGGAACGCUGCAGAGAAGAUUAGCAUGGCCCCUGCAUGAGGAUGACAUGCAAAUUUGUGAAGCAUUCCAUUUUUAA